rnacentral:rRNA from 1 species
UACGGAGGGUGCAAGCGUUGUCCGGAUUCACUGGGUGUAAAGGGUGUGUAGGCGGGGCGGUAAGUCAGAGGUGAAAGCCCACGGCUCAACCGUGGAAUUGCCUUUGAUACUGUCGUUCUUGAGUCUCGGAGAGGUCACCGGAAUUCGUGGUGUAGCGGUGAAAUGCGUAGAUAUCACGAGGAACACCAGAGGCGUAGGCGGGUGACUGGACGAGUACUGACGCUGAGGCACGAAAGCGUGGGGAGCAAACAGG